rnacentral:antisense_RNA from 1 species
UUCGCCGUGAAAUCCCACGUCUCCUGUUCCCCCAGCAGAACCCGGUCGCCGAAGAACUCACCGUCGGCCAGCACGCCGAGGACGGUCUGGCCGCCGUACUCACCGGCGCCCAGCUGGUUCACCUUGCCGUGCGCGAUGACCACGAGCUGGUCGGCCGCCUGACCCGACUCGACGAUCGCGUCUCCUGGCUCGUACUCGCGCUGGGAGAACCGACCCGCGAGUGCCUCGAGGACGCCGGUGUCGUCGAAUCCGCGCAACAGCGGCAACUCGCACAGCUCUGCCGGAACGACCUGAACCUCGGCACCGGUGUUCGUGGACGUGACCCGCCCGUCCCCGAGGGCGUAGGUCAGUCGGCGGUUCACCCGGUACGCGCCGCCCUUGGCCUCCACCCACGGCAACAGCUUCAACAACCACCGCGACGUGAUGCUCUGCAUCUGCGGCGGGGUUUUCGUCGUCGUCGACAGGUUCCGCGCGGCGGCGGUACCCAAGCUCAGCUGGGCCUCCG